GGACUCUUUCUCCCUCCAAGCCAAAGCUGGAAAGAAAGGAACCAGCCAAUGAAAAAGCCUGGCAACAAAGAGUCAAGAUAGUGAGGAAGCAGCUCCGUGUGGUGAGGCUGCCAGGGAAAUUACUGCAGCUGGUGGAUCCUCACCACCACCCCCACAGCCUCAUGUUGCCGGGUCACCACCUACUGCUGGUUGUCCCUCACAGGACAGUGGGCGGCUCAGUGGAGACGGCAGAGAGUUUAUUAUACUACUAGCACCCUGAUGGGUUUUCCCUUUUAGCUUUAAGAUAUUUGAAGGAAAAAGAAGAACCCCACCCCUACCCCUAACUUUUUUCCCCACACAGAGACAGUGGCUGUUCCCUGCCCACCUCCGAGUAGUCCUCAGUAGACACCAAUGCGCAUGAGCCUUUUCAGCAGGUGCAACCAAGUUUUCUUUUGACAUGACAGGAAGCUUCCUCCGGUUAACAAAGCCGUGCUCGUCCUGUCUGAACCACGGAACAAAGUCGACCUGAUGGCCGAUGAUCAGUCCAGUUUACCCUUCCCCUAACUUUUCCCCCAACACAGAGGCAGUGGCUGUUCCCUGCCCACCUCCGAGAAGAGAAGGAGAGAGGGAGUGAGUGUCUGUCUGGCUCUGAUGUCAGUGUUUGUAGGUUGAAUUGACUGAAGGUCAUGUUCAUGUGUUUGCAUGACUGCCUUUGUGUUUGUUUGUAAAAUCUACAUUCAAGUACACAGUAAGAAUCAAAUGUUGAUCAGAGAUUGAGUUUUUGUGUGCAUGUAUCCACCUAUAACCCACUUGGUUGUUGAUGUGUCCUGCUGUAGACUCUGGUGGUGGUGCUGGAGAGGAGGUCAGGGUCACCACAGCACACACCCCGUCUGAUUGGCCAGAGAGUGAAGAGUCUGAGCCAAUGACCUCAGAUCCCAUCUUCAUUCAAAGACCCCGCCGCCUGGAACGCUCAGCAGGUCGUACUGCACCUCCAGUCAGGAUGAUGAAAAGUCGACGCUGGAGGAGGUGAGCGAGGGAGUGAUUCCCAUUGACCAGCCCGCUCUGGGACCCUCCACACCAGGUAGCCAGGGGCUCGAGCUUCCCUUCCAGACCCACACUCAGUCCCAGGGUCACGGACUUAACAAGUCCAGUUCCUCUCCGGAGCUCCAAACCUUACCUGAAGCUUUUUCUAAGGCCGCUAUAGAGUCCCAGACUGCCAGGAGACGCAUCGAGGCCCAAAACACCUUCAGACAGCAAGCCUCAGCAGCAGCAGCCUCGUUUUGAGAAAGAGAAGGUGGAGGGAAGCACAGAGGGGACUUUAAUGGACUGG